ACAUAGUGGAGAACACGGAGUGGCAGCAAUGUGUGAUAUUAUACAGGGCCACAAAAAGUCAGUCCCUCUGCAUAUUGCGUAAUGGGAUCUAACAAAGGGCACAUUGGGACCAGUGGUAUUCUGUUGAUAAUAUAUAUUGUAUACUUAUCUUCUCAGGGGAAGAAUGUCCUUGUUUUCUCCCUCGGGCUCUGGGUUCCAGGGGAAGUCAAGCUUAAGUCAAUUAAACUUGGAGUAACACUGUGACAGCUCUCGAAAGAAACUGAGCUUUUCCUCCGCCAUGCUGAGAACGGCGCCGGUGGGUGAGAUGUUCUGGAGCGAAGGAGGUGAGGUGUUGUGGACGUUUUCCUUCUCACAAAGCAGGGUGGCGACUGGGAAUUCACAUUCACUACUCCAUCCGAUCGUCGCCUCGUUUUAUCUACAUCCGGUCUUGGAGUUGUCAUGACAAUAUUGUCGUUAUUAUCUUUGUAACCAUUGGAAGUUGAAGUAAUAAGCCCCUUUGGUGAACCGAUAAACAACUGUGUUUUUUCGCAAGCUUCUAUUCGCUGAACCAGACGAAAACACUUGUUGACUAUUUCAGUUGCUUUAAAAGCUUCAGCUUGCUUUUUGACAGCCAUGACAUCGUGUUUGAUUGCCAACACAUCCUUCGAUAUGAUAGGCGGCACCUGCGAUGAUAAAUCAUCGAGUACAGACUCUAUAUUUGUUCUACGGCCUUGCAUACUGUCACAAAUCUCGAGCAAUGACUUUUCAAUUGAUGUUGAACCAUGGACGACUACUUCGUCAUGGAGCUGUGUCAUAUUUGAAAUAUCCUGUGAGAUUUUGGCAAGAUCGCUGCUGAUAAUUCUAGCUUGAUUACGGUACAUUUGGACUUUUUCCUCUAGUAACUUUACCCUGCCAUCUAAGUGUUUUUGGUGAAUGUUAAGCAGCUCAACACGCAGGGCUAAUGAGUCUGAUCGACCAUUCUCCAGUUUGUGGUCUUUUUCAGGUUCCGUUGAUUCUUGUAACUUUUUUAUUUCUUUUUCUAAUUCACGAACCUUCUGUUUUUCAAUAUCCAGAUUAUAUUUUGCAAUCGCAAGAUUGUCGGAUUUAGUCGCCAGUUCUUUGGCAAGUCGUGCUAUCUCUAUGCGACAGCUUUCAAAGUCUUCAUUAAGCUUCGCUAUCAACUUGCUUUUUUCCGAGAAUUCCUUUGACAGAUUUUCAUUCACGUUAUGAAGUCUUUGAAUUUCCCUAUCCCUAUUAUCCACAUUCAUUUUACUUCGAACAAGAUCCUGCUUCAUUUUUUCAUGGUCAAUAAUCAAUUUCUCGGCAGCUUCUACCUUUUCCGCAAUUUUUUCCAACUCAGAAAUUUUAAUCCGCGCAUCUUUGAUUUCUUUUUCAUAGAGAUUUCGUUCGCGGGUAACCUGUUCAAUUUUGCGAGUGAGAGAUAGAAGGUCCGCAUUGAGUCGGUCUAUGUCCGAUUGGAGGACUGUCUGCUCCUUUUCUAGUCGCUCCUCUCGUCUUUUAUGAACUGUGGCUAAGCUAGUAUCUGUAGAUUUGUACUGUAGCAUCAGUUCAUUCUUAAAUUCUACAUCUUUCUGAAGUCUGGAUAUUGUUUCUUCCAUUUCCAAUGUUUUCAUAUCGAAGUUAGUUUUCAGUUUCUUGAUGUUAAACAGUAAGUCAUUGUGUUCAACCACCAGCCGGUUGUCUAGGUAACUCCGCAGUGCUCUCAUCUCAUCUUUUGUCAGCUUCGAUGCAAGUCUUUUGUGUUCCCGGAAUAGGACUAAAAAUGAAGAAUAUUGAAUGUUUAAUUAAGUUUGAUAAAAGAUUGCAAGAUACCUGUAUAUAGCCGUUUCACCAUUAUCUUAUUUGAGAGAGAGAGAGAGAGAGAGAGAGAGAGAGAGGUGUGAACAAAAGGCAUAUUAAAUACAUCAAAUGUAAACACAUGCGUUAUGCCAGCGAAAUGAAAUACACAAUUGGAUUU
rnacentral:sRNA from 1 species